UUUUUUUUUCAUUUUUUAAAAUAUAUUAAAUUAUAUCCAUAUAACACACCUUAGUUAAUAAUAUAAAGAAAAAACUUCCAAUCCAAAAAAAUUAAAAUGAAAAGAACCCACAUCCAUUAAAUAAUCAAUUUAAAAUUUGAAUUUCAAAUAUUAACUAAUCUUAUCCCUUAAAAAACGUCUAAACUUCCUAACCCACAUCUUUAAAAAAUAAAUACUACUUAAACUACAUUAUCCACACCUUUUUAAACCAAUUCAUCAAAAAUGUGUAAAACAAAAAUCACAUUCAAACAAAAAUCCAAAGCCUUAUUGUUUGUUGGGAGCCGGAUGAUCAUGCCAAUUUCUGCAUUUCAGGC
rnacentral:lncRNA from 1 species